AUGUAAAAAAUUUUAGAUGUAAUAACUAAAACGUUAAAAAAAAUAGUAUGUGAUUGGUUCUCUUAUUUGAAUUAAAAAUUAUACAAAUACAUUAAUUUGAGCAAAAAGGAAAAUGGACAGAAUAAUAAAUCAUUAAAAGGUAAUUGACAUAUUGUUGUAUUAUAAAAUGAUAUAGGCUAAAUGUACUUUCAAAUAUCUCAAAUAAAAGCAACAAUCUAUUUGUAAUAUUUUUGAAAUAAAUAACUUUCGAUCUACGUAGGCAUAAAAUUGACAGCAAGUUUCGAUGAAGUAUGAGUAUAGUAUGGUAUUUGUAGAGUAAAUGUAAUAGGACUGAGAAAAUUCGCUUUCACAUUAUAAAUAAGAACUCAAAGAAAAAGUCAGAAUCGUUCGAUGUCAUCGCAACACGCAAUGCAGCCGAGUGAGUAAUUAGCGCAGAAUAGAAGUUCAAUGGGGUGAUCGACACACCGCGCAAACACGGCCCUGGUUUUGGCCACUCAGUAAGUAGUCGAAGUGAUAUUUUGGUCGAGCUGGGACAGUGGGAUGGGAUAUGAUUGCCUUCUCGUAUUGCCGUGGCUUGAGACAUGGACUCUCGGAAGAAAAGAGGAAGAGAGACCGAGCAAAAUGAUCCGAGAGGUUCCGAGGUGUUGGAAAGGCACGAUGAAAGACAUAUGAGGAUUCCAGCGGCGAGAUAGGAUAUGCCUGCCGACUAUGUUACAGCGAAAAUCUUUUGAGCUAUAAAAUAACGAAAGCUCACGAAGUUUAACAUAAAGCUUAAACGAAAGAUUGAGAUUCUUCGAAAGUUUGUGGAGCACGUGGUUCUGUCAACUUCGUACGUAAGAAAGACGUCCCUCUAUUUACGACAUAAGGUAAACUUCUUUUAGGUCUCGCAGUUCACGGUCAGUGUCUGUCUUCGGGUACUUCGCUUGCUUGGACAGUUUUCAUGGCGCUAACAGAUAUGUCCGUCUUUCUUCCUGUUUUCUUCCUAUCAUGCAUAUUUCAAUAAAAUUCAUUUUUAUCAAGGAUACGGUUUAGGAAGCAAUGCGUGUGUCGAAAAAAGGGAGGAAAAAUUUGGAACAUUUGCAACAUUUUGGCACGAAGUUAAAUUUACGAUGAAAUCCAAUUUUAAAUCAUAUUUGUUCCAAGUCACCUGUCGUCGUGCAAUUAAGAAGGAUGAGUCGACAAGCGGCCGAUUUUAUUGUUGCUAAUAAGACUCGAGCACAAGCUAACGACGAUGCUCGUUACUUUUUCAAUGUCAAUUAUAUGCUGUAUUUGAUGCUUAAUUUCGGUUACCGUGCAAUGAAUUUCCUCUUUUAGAUUUUGAAUUCAAAAAUACAUUUUUUUGUAAAUUAAGACUAUAACUUUAAUAUUGGUUUGAACAAUAGAAUCACUGUUUUAAUGUAAUAUAUAUAAAAAAUUGACAAAUUGGUUUGAAAAAGUACAAGAACUGUUAAACCGAGUUUUCAAGAUUUCAAUACUUAAAUAAAACGCGAGUCACAUGGAGCAAAAGAAGGGCGGUGACGACGAAGAAAUUUAAGAAGUAGACAGAGACGAAGGUUGCAGACGUAAAGCAUAAACAGUCGAGGUGCGAUUUGACGCGCACUCGGACCAUCCAAGGCACAUCUCGCUCGCUGAACGUAUGCUUUAAGAAUCUCGAAGAAGCGACCAGCCCGAUGGCUGGAAUCUGUAAAUCUGUCAUUGCAGCCAUAUUCGUGUGGCUGGUACCGCAGGAUAUGAACUUCUGCUCGUCGUAUACGCCACCGUCGUACGAGACACUAGAUCUACACGCUUCUCUUCUUUUGAGAGCUUUGCACCGAAACGGAAACCUCUCCCUAUCUCUCGAAAUAACAAAUGUUCUUUUUGUUUUUCAUAAAAUUGACAAAACCCCUGAGAAAGUAUUUCCUUCUAUUCUCUUUAAGUAUCUCAAGAUCACAAAGAGAGAAUUUUAUAAUUAUAGUUAUUUCUUAUUCGUUAACGUAAGCUUAUUCGUCCCACUUAAUGUAUGAACUAAUCUUCAUUUUUGUCGAAAUAUUAUGAAGAAAGGCUUGAAAACCAAUGAAAGAACUAUGUAUCAAAAAAUUCAACCGUUGUUCAUUCAUCUACACUAUUCAGGAGCUUUCAUCUUUUUUGUGUUCCAGUGGCUGGUUGAAAGUAAAGCGCAGUUCUUGUUGAAGGUUUAAAAACCGUUUGGUUAUAUCAAACUGCAUGGAAACUAUAAAAGCCCUGGCAGUCGUUGCACGUAUACGCAGUAUUCCCUCUGGUAGCUAGCGAUGACGGAUUCAUAGCCCGUGGGAUAACGCAAGACCUCACCCCAAGAUGUUUCGGUUUACGGAUGCACGCUCUUCCUUGCUUUUUCUUCCUAUUUCUCGCCUUUUUUUCUUCUAUCUACUGAGCGAUUCAUUUGUCGGUCUUUGAUCCGAGACCAACAAGCUACUACCGGAAAAUUAGCGAAAUUUAUUAAGCAGUCGCUUUCUCUAGACUGCUAUCUGUCAUUUUAUUCUCCUUAUUUCUAGCGCAACCUGUCGUUUCAUCUUAUACGGGAUAUCAUUCAGUGGAUAGAAUCUUUGUUCAAAGAUACCGUAUUUGGGUGGUCGAAGGAUAAGUGACAAAUUCCAGAUGCUUCGUUGGGAGUCUUUUCUUCCUUUUUUUAAGAUAGAACGCAAAAUUUAUAUAGAUUCACGAAUAUUACAACGUUGAAACAUAUUCAUAGCUAUACUUAUUAACCGAUGAAUUAUCAUUAUAACGUCGCCGGUGUCCCGCUUAUCGAGAAAGGCGUCCUUUCAAGUUUCUGAAAGGUAGAUCUUCGAGAACAGCUGGUUCUCGCGAACAGCGGUGCCACCAGCAGCGCAAUGUCAACUAACCCCGUCAAGGGUUAGGGGUUAACUUCCACGGGACUAGUACCUACGAGGAAGAUGAAAGAAUGAGCGAAGAUAGGCCGACGGCCGCCCCUUUUUAUUACCGGCGCCGUCACGCGUCACCGAUAAGCGCGGUCUCUCUGUAGACGAAAAGUCUAUGCUUGCACCGGUUCUCUCGAAACAUGAGAUUUCAUCUUCCCUUCUUUACUUCUGCUUUUGCCAUCUCCAGUUGAGAGAAAGUUUCAUUUUUUAUGGACAUGUGUCGAAAAUCUUGGAACACGAUCUGCUUCUUUUCAACAAGGAGUAAUAGAAACGUGUUAAGAAUGUAACAACUGGCUGAUCAUCUGUUUCUUUAUGUUUUACUCUGGCUAGAAAGGAGCAUUGGGUUAAAAAUCAAAGAAAGAAACUGCAAAGGUUUCUGCUCUUAUUUUUAUUCAUUGCGGAAACAUGUGCGGGUCAUGAAUGACUGCAAAACGUUUUGUGAAUGCACGAGGGAAGAUGUUCACCGAGAGUCAUUAAGGAUACGUUUCACCGAAACUUUCAUGAAUUCCCAAGAAAAUAGAGAUCCGAAUUAUCGUGGCCCAUACAAUGAGGGCCCAGUAUGGGGAUGAUGAGGAUGCGCAGGAUAGUGAACCGAAUUCAUGUGUGCAGUUGGUUGUCCAUGGUGUCCAGGGUCUCUUUGCAGGAUUUUGCAUACUUGAAACUGCGACAGAGUCACACUCAUCCGAUUCACAGUCACGAAAACCUUUCGCAAAUGGAUUGCUAGCAAUUUUGAGUUGCGUGAUACGAUGAUUUUGAUAAGCUGUGAC